GGGCGUUAAGUUGCAGGGUAUAGACCCGAAACCCGGUGAUCUAGCCAUGGGCAGGUUGAAGGUUGGGUAACACUAACUGGAGGACCGAACCGACUAAUGUUGAAAAAUUAGCGGAUGACCUGUGGCUGGGGGUGAAAGGCCAAUCAAACCGGGAGAUAGCUGGUUCUCCCCGAAAGCUAUUUAGGUAGCGCCUCGUGAAUUCAUCUCCGGGGGUAGAGCACUGUUUCGGCUAGGGGGCCAUCCCGGCUUACCAACCCGAUGCAAACUGCGAAUACCGGAGAAUGUUAUCACGGGAGACACACGGCGGGUGCUAACGUCCGUCGUGAAGAGGGAAACAACCCAGACCGCCAGCUAAGGUCCCAAAGUCAUGGUUAAGUGGGAAACGAUGUGGGAAGGCCCAGACAGCCAGGAUGUUGGCUUAGAAGCAGCCAUCAUUUAAAGAAAGCGUAAUAGCUCACUGGUCGAGUCGGCCUGCGCGGAAGAUGUAACGGGGCUAAACCAUGCACCGAAGCUGCGGCAGCGACACUUAUGUGUUGUUGGGUAGGGGAGCGUUCUGUAAGCCUGUGAAGGUGGCCUGUGAGGGUUGCUGGAGGUAUCAGAAGUGCGAAUGCUGACAUAAGUAACGAUAAAGCGGGUGAAAAGCCCGCUCGCCGGAAGACCAAGGGUUCCUGUCCAACGUUAAUCGGGGCAGGGUGAGUCGACCCCUAAGGCGAGGCCGAAAGGCGUAGUCGAUGGGAAACGGGUUAAUAUUCCCGUACUUGGUGUUACUGCGAAGGGGGGACGGAGAAGGCUAUGUUGGCCGGGCGACGGUUGUCCCGGUUUAAGCGUGUAGGUGUGUGUUCCAGGUAAAUCCGGUUCACUUUAACACUGAGGCGUGACGACGAGGCACUACGGUGCUGAAGCAACAAAUGCCCUGCUUCCAGGAAAAGCCUCUAAGCAUCAGGUAACAUCAAAUCGUACCCCAAACCGACACAGGUGGUCAGGUAGAGAAUACCAAGGCGCUUGAGAGAACUCGGGUGAAGGAACUAGGCAAAAUGGUGCCGUAACUUCGGGAGAAGGCACGCUGACACGUAGGUGAAGUGAUUUACUCAUGGAGCUGAAGUCAGUCGAAGAUACCAGCUGGCUGCAACUGUUUAUUAAAAACACAGCACUGUGCAAACACGAAAGUGGACGUAUACGGUGUGACGCCUGCCCGGUGCCGGAAGGUUAAUUGAUGGGGUCAGCGCAAGCGAAGCUCCUGAUCGAAGCCCCGGUAAACGGCGGCCGUAACUAUAACGGUCCUAAGGUAGCGAAAUUCCUUGUCGGGUAAGUUCCGACCUGCACGAAUGGCGUAAUGAUGGCCAGGCUGUCUCCACCCGAGACUCAGUGAAAUUGAACUCGCUGUGAAGAUGCAGUGUACCCGCGGCAAGACGGAAAGACCCCGUGAACCUUUACUAUAGCUUGACACUGAACAUUGAGCCUUGAUGUGUAGGAUAGGUGGGAGGCUUUGAAGUGUGGACGCCAGUCUGCAUGGAGCCGACCUUGAAAUACCACCCUUUAAUGUUUGAUGUUCUAACGUGGACCCGUAAUCCGGGUUGCGGACAGUGUCUGGUGGGUAGUUUGACUGGGGCGGUCUCCUCCUAAAGAGUAACGGAGGAGCACGAAGGUUGGCUAAUCCUGGUCGGACAUCAGGAGGUUAGUGCAAUGGCAUAAGCCAGCUUGACUGCGAGCGUGACGGCGCGAGCAGGUGCGAAAGCAGGUCAUAGUGAUCCGGUGGUUCUGAAUGGAAGGGCCAUCGCUCAACGGAUAAAAGGUACUCCGGGGAUAACAGGCUGAUACCGCCCAAGAGUUCAUAUCGACGGCGGUGUUUGGCACCUCGAUGUCGGCUCAUCACAUCCUGGGGCUGAAGUAGGUCCCAAGGGUAUGGCUGUUCGCCAUUUAAAGUGGUACGCGAGCUGGGUUUAGAACGUCGUGAGACAGUUCGGUCCCUAUCUGCCGUGGGCGCUGGAGAACUGAGGGGGGCUGCUCCUAGUACGAGAGGACCGGAGUGGACGCAUCACUGGUGUUCGGGUUGUCAUGCCAAUGGCACUGCCCGGUAGCUAAAUGCGGAAGAGAUAAGUGCUGAAAGCAUCUAAGCACGAAACUUGCCCCGAGAUGAGUUCUCCCUGAGACUU
rnacentral:rRNA from 1 species